GCAGAUGAACUGGCAAUGAACACCCCCUGAGGGAGCUUCCCGGGGCUGGGAAUUUGGGGAUUUCCUUCCCAGCCUUGCCCUGCUCGGGCUCCCGGCUCUGGUGCCUUCAAAAGCAGCAGCUUGGAGCAUUUCGGAGGGACUUUGUGCAGGCUGAGCUGGGCUCUGCUGCUGCUGCUGCUGCUUUUUAGGAAAGAGGCCUGCCUUUUUCCUGGCAAUGAACACCCCCUGAGGAAGCUUCCCGGGGCUGGGAAUUUCGGGAUUUCCUUCCCAGAAGCUUGGAGCAUUUCGUAGGGACUUUGUGCAGGCCGAGCUCGGCUCUGCUGCUGCUGCUGCUGCUGCUUUUUAGGAAAGAGGCCUGCCUUUUUCCUGGCAAUUAACACCCCCUC